CAAGGACCCACAGCUCCAGCAUUGGCAAGUACUGAUUUUGGAGAAACAAAGAUACCUGAGCCAAUAAUUGUACCAACAAUCAUACAGAUUCCACUGAUCAGGCCCACCUUGAAAUAAAAGGAGAUAUUUUGGCCGGUAAAUAUAAUGUUAGGAGAGGACGCGAUCAGGAAGAUUUCUGACCCACAUAAUGAGUUGGAUUAAGUCUACACAAAAGAGUGGUGCUUGUGAGUUUCAAAUAUUAUGACCAUCUUUGAAUCAGGCUCUGCUGUGACUGCAGUUCUGCUUCCUGUAAUAGGAAGAAGGGGAUAACACAGCUGGAAGUGGUACUAUUUUUCCUCUAGAGCUGAAAUGGGUAGUCUGCCCAUUGUCAUGGCACACUAGGAAUAUAGGAAGCACCCGAGAAGAACAGUGAUGAUGGAUAUAGCAGCUGGGACUGAAGAGGACAUAAUCUACAGUCUUAUAAAGUAAUUUCAAAAAGUAACAAUUGCAGUGAUGUGAAAGAAGUCCCACAAAAUCUGUUGACAUGUACUCUUUCUGCCAUGCAUCUGACCUGCACCAUGGUUUUGGAGUAGUUUGUGGACACUGAGAUAUGAGGCAAUGAAUUCACCAAAAGUAUUUUCUAGGUCUCCUCAUUCAAAACCCUACCAUCUUAUCUGAGUACAGGAUACCUGCAAUCUAACUUUCUGCCAAGGUUUGUUCUACCUCUGAACCAUUCACAUGCACGAGAAGGUCUGCAAAUACUGAAAUAUCCUGUUCUUCAGGUGAAUACACAAAUGAUUAAUCAUCAUAGCUAACUACUAGCAUUGAAGAUAUAUUCUUAAUUUGCAUGUAAAGACAGAUAUGUCUACGAAAACAAAAAAUUUAGCAAAAUUAUUCAACAAGUAGGCCAAAUAGGUGUGACAAAGAUGUAUUUGAGGAAACAUGGCUGCUCUACAGUAGGUAGAAAUGAU